AGUGCCGGGACGGAACCUGAAGAGGUAAGCACUACACCACUGCGCUACAGCCCAGUCCUCGCCUUCCCGUCCUUUCUGAUCUCUAAGUUCUCGCUGCUUUUUGCUCUGUUUCUACGGAAUUACACCCUGUUCUUAUUUGCUUGUGUUCCUUAGGCUUUGGUUCAUUUUGGAAAUAUUUCUCUUUUACUUCUAAUUUUUUCUUAGGUUUAAUAACCUCAUUUCUGAGAUUCUUAAAUUUGAAUUACAUUAUUCUUCCAUAGAUUCUACCUUUUAAAAUUAUUUAGGGGGAAGGCUGGAGAGGUGGUUCAGCUGGUCAAAGGUGGGCCACACACACGAAUGACAACAAGAGCUCACACACAUAUGCACGCAUGCACGCACACACAGAUGUAUGUGUAGGUAAACAGAUUUUUUUUUUUUUGUUAGUUUUGGAAUAGAGCAUUGACACAUUUUUCAGAUGACCUGACUGGCAUGAUGUCACUGUCUCAUAGCUCUUACAUCUUAUAUCCUAUUUUUACAUGUUUUCCCUAUUCUUUCAGAAGGGAGUCUGGAUUUAGCAUAAUAAUUAAACUUUUAUCUUCAGAAAAAAUAUUCCAAGUUAUAUUUUCUUUCAUUUUGAUAAGAAACCUAAAACAUGAAAGUUUUGAUCUACUCAUGUACACACUGUUACUGGGUUGCCCUUUCCCUUUGUGUGAACUGCCCCACACUGCUUAAGCUGGAGUCUACUUUUCAGUAUGGGGCUCUGUUCUUCACAGAGCUUUGGCCUAUUAGUUCCUAGGGGCCAUUAUAGGGGCUGGGCUGGCUCCUUGCAGUCUCAGGCUGGCCAUGAAAUCAGUCACCUGUAACUGGUGUGGGAUGGACAUGCUGUAAUCAGAUGGCUAUUUGGAGGUAUCGGCCAGAUCAGCGGCUCCAUCAGUUUUGCUCACUCCCCUUCUUCCACGUGUACAUGCUGACAGCACACAGACCUUGCAGUCAUCGAGAUUUGUCUCCCCUUACUCAGGGUUUGGGAUUUGUGCAGACACUUCAUGACCUGGUGACCUUCCAGGGGUCAGCCUCUUGCCAUCAUCUCCUGAGAGCUGGGACAACAGGUGUGUGUGACCAUCUCACCAACGGAACUGCAUGCUCACACCUGCUGGAUUUUUGUUUCUCUACCAGUACUAACAAUGUAUUAUCAACGUAAAGCAAAUGAUUACUUCUAGAGUGGUUGUUUUUUUAACUGGAUUUAAUUGGUAUUUACAAUAAUGCAAUUUUUAAAUUAAAAUAACUGCCAAAAGUUUCCUUUUGAGUUUAUUUACUACAUAAAAAUUAAUUAUUAUUGAAAUUAAAUGAAUUUCUAUUUAGUACCAAACAUUAAUAUUAUUUAACAAUGUGGUUGCUAUUCUGCUAAUUGUGACCAUAUUAAAUAGGUAGGGUAUUAAUUUGAUUUAGAAAAGAAAACUAACAAAAGAUGAAUAAAUCAAAAGAACUCAAAAGAUACAGAAAUUUUAAUCUUCAUAAGGGUAUGCAAAUGUUUUCUAUGUAACGGAACCUGUUAAAAUGCAGUUUAUGGAUAGUCUUCUUAAAAUAACACCUAUCUUAGAACUGAGUCUGGUCUACUAGAUCUCUGUGUUCUGGUUUUGGUAAUGGUUUUUAGAGUUUCUGCUAUAGUGUUCAUGGUAGACGAUAAAUACUAAUAGACUUUUUGUUUGUUUGUUUUGUUUUUUCGAGACAGGGUUUCUCUGUGUAGCCCUGGCUGUCCUGGAACUCACUCUGUGUAGCCUCAAACUCAGAAAUCCGUCUGCCUCUGCCUCCCAAGAGCUGGGAUUAAAGGCGUGUGCCAGCACGCCGGGCUACUAAUAUACUUCUAAACAACUUACACAUACACUGAUUUUUCUUAAGCAAAAGAAAAUACUUGGUUUUCAAUUUGACAUAUAUUUUCACUUUAUUUCUUCUUGUUACUAAAUGUGAUUACACAUAGUAUAUCUUAGCAAACAAAGAAAUACAUAGUUGUAGCUUUUACCAUGUAUUAAAGGGAAAGCUACUGUGCUAAGUGUCUCAGACUUUAAUUCGAUGCAGCACAAAAGCAUCUUCAUCCUACAUUCUUCACACAGACACACACUGUAACCCAGGGCACAUAAUCGCUAGGCCAGUGCCUGGCUGCUUCACUACUGUACUUUUCCCACUUACACCAAUGACAAAUCAGCUGUUCUCUGUUCCUUGGAUCUGCAUAUAUUUAUCAAUGAGUGUCCCUUGACCGCCUUUGAACAGGAAAUAUGUUAAGCUUUGGAAAGAUAUGGCAAAGAACAGAAUUAUUGUGCGCCACCUUUUAACUGUAACCAUGUGCUAAAGGGAGAACUGUUUGGGCACACGUUUCUGGUAGACUAUUAUGGCAGAGGGGGAAGGUAGAGAGUGCAAGUCUGCCAAACCCACAUGGCUAAUUUUAAUGUAAAUGACAACAGUUUACCAGGAAUCAAAAGCCAGGGCAACUGGUAACUAGAUCAAAACAGGAGAAGCUACUUCCCAUAUGUUAUUGUAAUACAUAAUCUAAUUAUAAACAACAUAAGGCUUGAUUUUGUUUUAUUUCUUUGUAGUCCUGGGGCUUGAAUCCAGGGUCUUGGACCUGCUAGGUGAGGGUUUAUCUGUGAACCACACCCUCAGCUCACAGGAAGGACUCUGAGCCUACACUCCUUAACAGCCUUGAGUUCUCCUCCAAUUCUGCUCUAGACUGAACCCAGAUCUUGUGCAUGCAGAUCAUACUGUUGCCACAGAGCUGCACCCUCCACCCCAAAACCUUCCCGAAUGAAUAUCGUGGUGUGCCGAUGCGUGGUGUGCCGUGACGGGGAACACAUUCAGCUAUAGGGUCGGCAGUAGGGUGGAACAAACAUGCUUUCACUACAGUUUCUCCAAUUCUUAAGCAGGAUCAUUCCUAUAGAACAGCUGAGACAAACUGAAAUCUGAAAGGUUAGGUAAACUGCACAAGGUCACUGCUGGUAAAUGAGAAACUCAGUGAUCGUCUGCUUCACGCCCAGUGCCAAGCACACUUCUACUUUUUACAUGUCACUUCCCAUUCGUCCCUGAAAGUAACAAUUAGAGGUUAGAAGACCACUUAAAUGCAUCCCACACUUAAAAGCCUUCGGCAUCAACAUAAAUCCCUGGCUUAUUGAUUUAACAUGAACAUAUUAAUGCCACAUUUGGAAUAUCGAUCUGAUAACAUUUUGCGUAUUUGAUUUUCGAUUUCAAAUGAAUAGAUGCUUUUCCAACAAACGCUACAAUUUACAACUU
rnacentral:lncRNA from 1 species